rnacentral:rRNA from 1 species
ACUUAUUUGCGACCCC